rnacentral:lncRNA from 12 species
UCACCUCUGUGCACUGAGGUGGCCAAAUCUGAAGAUUGAUAAAUUUUACAUCAUCUUAAAUUUUAUAUUCUUCAAUUUAGGGUGAGCCAAGACCCUGGCUGCAGUGUCACCAGAUGCAUGUGAACUUUAGUUGUCCAAUCAUGCACCUCAUCCUCAUACAGCUACCUUAAGUGGGAACACAUAUAUCAUAAACAUGAGCGUUUGAAGCCCGAAAAGUUUGACCUUCCUUCUAAAAACAAACUUGUUUGUUUUCCACCCUGCAGAAAAGGUGAGAUAUCUAGAUAGCUGGUUUGGAGGGAAGAGGAAGGGUAAAUUUACUUGGAGUAGUGAAAAGAGGGAGGAGAGAAGGAUGGCUG